rnacentral:rRNA from 1 species
CUAGCUGUAAACGAUGGAUACUAGGCGUUGAGAGUAUCGACCCUCUCAGUGUCGUAGCUAACGCGUUAAGUAUCCCGCCUGGGGAGUACGCGCGCAAGCGUGAAACUCAAAGGAAUUGGACGGGGGCCCGCACAAGCGGUGGAGUAUGUGGUUUAAUUCGAUGCAACGCGAAGAACCUUACCAGGGCUUGACAUGUCCGGAACCCUGCCCAAAGGCGGGGGUGCCUACGGGAACCGGAACACAGGUGGUGC